UGAGAGUUGGGUGGGAUGAACACCGCGAUAAAUAAUUGUACCAAAAUUAAUAUAAGUUGUACUAUAAACUUGGGCCUAUAUUUUCCUUUCAAUUGUUAUUUUUCAAUUGUCCUCUUUUAGUUGACACGUCCUUUCCUCUUUAUUUGUCUAGAACAUAUGGCUUUCGCUUCACUUCCAUUUCCCCUGUUCUUGAAUUUGUGUCAUUAACAGUCAAUUUUUCUAUGCCUAUUAUGCGUUCUUGUUCUCUUUGUUUGGUUGUUUAUUUUUUUUUUCUUUCUUAUGGAAUUUGGGGCUACUUCUGAAAGAGGAUUAAUUUUACACGUAUAUAAUUAUUGUUGACUCAUAAUGCACUUAGAGAUCUAGAGGAAGAAAUAUUUGGUAGAAGCCAACAUUAUGGAAGAAAAAGAAACUAUAGAAUGAUGUCAAGGAUUACCAUUAAUAGUGGAGUUUGAUUCAUCUCCAAAUGCACUUUGGGCUUUUUGGAGCUUAGUGGAAUGAAUGAGCAGGGAAUGCAAAGAAACUGAUUGCUCUACUGAUAUGUUGGUACCUCAUAUUGAGAGGUUUGGAAUGAACUCCAGCGCUUAUCAUCACUUUUUAAUUGGUUGUUGAAGCUCUUGGUCCAAUUUGCUAUAUCUUGAUGGAAUUUGUUGGUUUCAACAGGUUUAUUCACUUAUGGGUAUCAACAGCUGAUAUGCAAUUGACCACUCAUUCUGGCUUGACAUACAUGUGUCUCAUUUUCUACUUGACUUUCACAAAACUAUUUAUAUAGGGUCAUAAGAAUAAUGGUAUAUUGAGAUUUGUUCUUCCCUUGCUUUCCUAAUUUAUGCAAAUAUUCUUUUAUGAAGUCCUUGUUUUAUGAGCAAUCCAAGAUGACUUCCAUAUGAUAGAAGCAU